CCUACGGGAGGCUGCAGUGGGGAAUAUUGCACAAUGGGGGAAACCCUGAUGCAGCGACGCCGCGUGAGUGAAGAAGGAAUUCGGUAUGUAAAGCUCUAUCAGCAGGGAAGAAAAUGACGGUACCUGAGUAAGAAGCCGCGGCUAACUACGUGCCAGCAGCCGCGGUACUACGUAGGGGGCAAGCGUUAUCCGGAUUUACUGGGUGUAAAGGGAGCGUAGACGGCAGUGCAAGUCUGGAGUGAAAGGCGGGGGCUCAACCCCCGGACUGCUCUGGAAACUGUACGGCGGGGGUGCAGGAGAGGUAAGUGAAAGUCCUAGUGAAGCGGUGAAAUGAGUAGAUACUAGGAGGAACCCGAGUGGCGAAGGCGGAUUACUGGACUGUAACUGACGUGGAGGCUCGAAAGCGUGGGGAGCAACCAGGAUUAGAUACCCUGGUAGUC
rnacentral:rRNA from 1 species